rnacentral:rRNA from 1 species
GGGAGCAAUCUCCUGUAAAAUCAGUGGCGAACGGGUGAGUAACGCGUGGCUAACCUGCCCCUAUGCCCGGGACAACCUCCCGAAAGAGGGGCUAAUACCGGAUGUGCUUUCCCCGGGGCAUCCCGGGGAAAGUAAAGGAGAAAUCCGCGUGGGGAGGGGGCUGCGUCUUAUCAGCUUGUUGGUGAAGUAACGGCUCACCAAGGCGACGACGGGUAGCCGGUCUGAGAGGAUGAACGGCCACACUGGGACUGAGACACGGUCCAGACUCCUACGGGAGGCAGCAGUGAGGGAUUUUGCGCAAUGGGCGAAAGCCUGACGCAGCGACGCCGCGUGAGGGAAGAAGGCUCUCGGGUUGUAAACCUCUGUCAGCGGGGAAGAGGAAGGACGGUACCUGCUGAGGAAGCCUCGGCUAACAUACGUGCCAGCAGCCGCGGAUAUACGUAGGGGGCGAGCGUUGUCCGGAAUCACUGGGUGUAAAGAGCUCGUAGGCGGAGACGUAAGUGCAAGGACAAAGCCCAAGCUUAACCCUGGAAUGAGCUUGAAUACUGCUUUCUCGAGGACGGAGAGGAAGUGGAAUUCCCGGUGUAGCGGUAAAAUGCGUAGAUAUCGGGAGGAACACCAGUGGCGAAGGCGGCUCUCUGGUCGGUCCCUGACGCUGAGGAGCGAAAGCUAGGGGAGCGAACGGGAUUAGAUACCCCGCGUAGUCCUAGCUGUAAACGAUGGGCACUAGGUGUAGGUGGUGUUAAAGCCAUCUGUGCCGCAGGAAACCCAUUAAGUGCCCCACCUGGGGAGUACGGCCGCAAGGUUGAAACUCAAAGGAAUUGACGGGGGCCCGCACAAGC